UACGUAGGGUGCGAGCGUUGUCCGGAAUUAUUGGGCGUAAGGAGCUUGUAGGCGGUUUGUCGCGUCUGCUGUGAAAAUCCGGGGCUCAACCCCGGACUUGCAGUGGGUACGGGCAGACUAGAGUGUGGUAGGGGAGACUGGAAUUCCUGGUGUAGCGGUGGAAUGCGCAGAUAUCAGGAGGAACACCGAUGGCGAAGGCAGGUCUCUGGGCCACUACUGACGCUGAGAAGCGAAAGCAUGGGGAGCGAACAGG
rnacentral:rRNA from 1 species